rnacentral:lncRNA from 10 species
CUAUUUGUGUGACAAGAUAAAUGGAAGCCCAAACUUCACACAGUAUACCAUUGUAACAGAUCUGCAUAUGUACCCUCUGAUCUAAAAUAAAAUUGAAAUUAAAAAUAAAUGAAAAUAAGCCUAAAUGAGCACUGGUUUCAACUUAAAGUCACCAGUUCCAUUAGCCCCAUGUUAAAAAUCUGUUAUUUAGUGUAGCCCCGCCUUCAUCAAUGAUCUAAUCUAGAUCUUCUGCAUAGCUUGCUGCAGCUUCUACAUCAGCACUUGCUGCUUCACUCGAAAGGGAAGAGUUGAUGAACUCAGAGAGCAUAGGAUUUUUAACUUAGUUUGGAAUGAAUGAGAGCAAUAUUCUGAAACCCAUAGAGAUGAUAAAACAGCAGACAAGGGAUUAGAACUCUGGUUUGCAAACCUCUUACUCCUUUCUAUAUAUAAUGCUGCCAACACCUUCAUCACUCCCAAUUCUCAGAAGUAAAAGGCAUGCAGUAAUCUAUUAUUAGAACCAUUAUAUAUGAGAAAGUAUCUAUAAAUUAGAAUACUAUAACAAAAAAUAAUUAGUAAAUAAAGAAGUAUGGUUCUACUUGCACACCAGUUCUACACUUCCUUUUUUGUUUUUUUGUCUUUUUUUAAUGUAAGAACC